rnacentral:rRNA from 1 species
GCGUGGAGCAUGUGGCUUAAUUUGACUCAACGCGGGAAAUCUUACCGGGUCCGGACACACUGAGGAUUGACAGGCAAUAUAUGUGACUCUUCGGAGUUUGCAUUGUUAAAUAUGCUAGUCCUUUCAUGAUUAUGUGAUAGGUGGUGCAUGGCCGUUCUUAGUUCGNGGAGUGAUCUGUCUGCUUAAUUGCGUUUCAAAUUACUUAUAAGGUAGCAAUACGCGAUGAAGCUUUCAAUAGUCCUCACGGAUUCACUUGAGUCUCUCGCUUCGCUAUCCUUUCGAAUGCAACGAACGUGACCGCAACCUCUUGUUGCCUUCGUUUAACAUCCUGCAGCUCGCUGUGGGUACUGAGGGCUUCACUCGGUGACUUUGGGCUGAGCAAUCGGUCU